AACAUUUGGUUCGACCAUUUCUAAUCACCUGUCAUUCCACACGCAAUAAUUUCUUCAAGAAAAGCCUGCAAUUCAUCAAAACUCUUUCAAAGCUUUUUCUUCAUUGUGAAUUUUCUCGUGUUUCUGUUAUUGCAUAAACGUAAAGAUCGUUUCACAGACAAGUUAUGUCGAGUGCUGCAGGAUCCAUCCUUCCAUUCAAAGUUCGAGUGGAGUCCUGCAAAUUUCAGCCAUCCAUUCUUUGUUUAAAUAAUUUCCUGGAGAUAUCAAAACACAAGGGAAAAUAUCAGGUUCUAAGAAACCACAAGUUGCAGUCUCUGGGCUCCGAUCUUAGAGUACAAAAUACUGACAGAUACAGGAACAUGGUCGUCUGCAGCAGUGUUGGAUCAGGACCUCCAAUCCCUUCUAAUCCUACUCCUGGGCCUGGUUCCUGCAGGAAACCUUGGAUUCUGGGAAUACUAUUGAGUAUAAUCCUACCCUUUUGGAGGGGCAAAUGGAGGCCAUUAUUAAAACUGAAAGAGGAAGUUGAAACUGUAAUAGACACGGCUGAAGCUGUAACGGAUAUUGUAGAAAAGGUGGCGGAGCAAGUUGAGAAAGUCGCAGAUAAGGUUGGUGAUCAUCUACCGGAAGGCAGACUUAAAGAUGCCCUUGAAUUUGUUGAAGAGAUGGCUGAAGACACCGCUGAUGGUGCACGCGUUGCUGGAGAAUUCAUUGACAAGGUUUUUUUUUUUUUGUUUCUUGCUAUACUAUUACCUAAUCCCUUGUUGACUUUUUGUUUAAGCAUAUUUAAUUAAUUAUUAACAAUAGGAUUAGAUAGUUGAUAUUUUAUUAUUAUAUGAAUCCUAUUUAGCUUUAGCACAUGAUUAAUAGUGCUGCUUUUCAAACAAAUUAAAAAACUUGAAGAAGCAACUGUAGAACCUAAGAAUUUAACCUAGACCGUUCAUCCAGCCAUUUAGAGUGCAGGAUUAAUUACUUGCAAAGCAAGAGUUCAAGUCCGUUGAAUCCUCUUUCCAUAAAAAAAAAGGUAGAAGAUAUGGUAGACGAAGUGGAAGAAAAGGUGGAAUCUUUGA